rnacentral:rRNA from 1 species
UACGAAGGGGGCUAGCGUUGCUCGGAAUUACUGGGCGUAAAGGGCGCGUAGGCGGUCUUUUAAGUUCCGUGUGAAAUCCCUCGGCUCAACUGGGGAACUGCACGGAAAACUGGAAGGCUUGAGUUCGGGAGAGGGAAGCGGAAUUCCGGGUGUAGCGGUGAAAUGCGUAGAUAUCCGGAGGAACACCGGUGGCGAAGGCGGCUUCCUGGACCGACACUGACGCUGAGGCGCGAAAGCUAGGGGAGCAAACGGG